rnacentral:tmRNA from 1 species
GGCGCCUCCACCAAAAUAUAAGAAAAAAAUUAUAUUUUGGUGGGGGCGAAAUAGGAUCGACAAGAGCGUAAAGAUUGCUCUUUUACUCGGCAUAGUACCACCGUUAUCGGACUAAAUGAGUAGUUGCAAAUGACAACUAUGCGGAAGCACGUCUCGCCGCUUAAGGUGGUGUGAAUGUUUCAAAUUAAGUCUUAAACCGUCGCAGGUUUAAGCGGGGUUCGAAGG